AUUGAACGCUGGCGGCAGGCCUAACACAUGCAAGUCGAACGAGUGGCGGACGGGUGAGUAAUGUCUGGGAAACUGCCUGAUGGAGGGGGAUAACUACUGGAAACGGUAGCUAAUACCGCAUACCAUCGGAUGUGCCCAGAUGGGAUUAGCUAGUGGGUGGGGUAAAGGCUCACAUAGGCGACGAUCCCUAGCUGGUCUGAGAGGAUGAGCAGCCACAGUGGAACUGAGAAACGGUCCAGACUCCUACGGGAGGCAGCAUUGGGGAAUAUUGCACAAGGGGCGCAAGCCUGAUGAAGCACUGCCGCGUGUAUGAAGAAGGCCUUCGGGUUGUAAAGUACUUUCAGCGGGGAGGCGUUACCCGCAGAAGAAGCACCGGCUAACUCCGUGCCAGCAGCCGCGGUAAUUC
rnacentral:rRNA from 1 species